rnacentral:rRNA from 1 species
AACGGGUGAGUAACGCGUGAGGAACCUGCCUCAAAGAAGGGGGACGAACAGUUGGAAACGACUGCUAAUACCGCAUAAGCCCACGGCUCGGCAUCGAGCAGAGGGAUAAGGAGUGAUCCGCUUUGAGAUGGCCUCGCGUCCGAUUAGCUGGUUGGUGAGGUAACGGCCCACCAAGGCGACGAUCGGUAGCCGGACUGAGAGGUUGAACGGCCACAUUGGGACUGAGACACGGCCCAGACUCCUACGGGAGGCAGCAUG